CAGUCGCCACGGGAAUACAGAGGGUGCGAGCGUUAAUCGGAUUUACUGGGCGUAAAGCGUGCGUAGGCGGCUAAUUGAGUCGGAUGUGAAAUCCCCGAGCUUAACUUGGGAAUUGCAUUCGAUACUGGUUAGCUAGAGUGUGGGAGAGGAUGGUAGAAUUCCAGGUGUAGCGGUGAAAUGCGUAGAGAUCUGGAGGAAUACCGAUGGCGAAGGCAGCCAUCUGGCCUAACACUGACGCUGAGGUACGAAAGCAUGGGGAGCAAACAGGAUUAGAUACCCCGGUAGUCCCUGUCUCUUAUAC
rnacentral:rRNA from 1 species